ensembl:snoRNA
AAGCACUGCCUUUGAACUGGUGCAUGGCCCAUUCAUGGUCUCACUGGCUACGCUACAGUGCAAAAAUAAAAGGCUUGCUUAUAACUGGUGUUGCUCAGCUUAAACCUGAGUGAUUCUUUUAAAGACAAGUUACAAUC